GCUUCUAAGAUGCCUUCUGCUUUCCACUUAGGUCUAAUUUUUUUCUUUAAGCCUGUACAUGCAGUCUUAAGAUUAUUUUUAUGAUGCAAUUAAUAGCUAUUUAAACACUUUAAGUUGAUUCUUUUCAGAUAUUAUUUACUCUAGUCCAUUUACAUGUGGUAAGUCAUUAUUUCAUUGUGUUUUUUUAGUUUUCGUUUUGUUUUUCUAUGGAGAUGUUUUUUAAAUGAAGAAAUUUUAAAUGAAAGACUUUAGCCUCUCUUCAAAAGAACAGUAAAAAUGAAUACUCUCUUUGCUAGGAUGCAUAUGAUGGCAUGAGUUUAAGUUUUAGAUUCUCUGUUGAUGUCAAAGUUGCAAACAUUUUUUGUAUCUGGGCACCAUGAUGGUAUGGCACUCCAUCUGUGAUUUACUCUACUCAGAGAGGAAUGAAGUGUAGUUAACAAGAAUCAAACUAAUGGAAAACAGGAUUUUGGUGUUGCUGGAACAUGUAGAAAAAGGUGGAGUCUAAGAAAAUAUUUCUCUAGCCAAGACAGUAUUGAAGAAACUCAUUAUUUUCCAUCUGCUUGUUCCUUGUUCCCAGUGUGAAGUGAAAGCAAAGUUUUAAAAUUUUUUCUCCUCUGCAAGAAAAUAUAUUUCAGAAAAUCUCUAUCUCAAAAAUGAAGCAAUUAAGAACUGUCUGGCUGUGAGGAUCUGGCCUCAACUUGACUUAAAGCAACAACUUCAGUUACAUAUCAAGAUGUGCGUGAGAAUGAACCUGCUCUGCUCAGCCAACGUGCUGAGUGACUUGAUGUUUGUAAUAAAUAAAUAAAUAAACAACAAACAGGUUGUCAUGAAAUAUCCUUUGUAAUUAUAAACACAGGAAACUUUCUGAGAUGCAAGUGGGUGUUAAAUGGUUCAGCAAAGCCAAGCCAGAGCAGUUGGUGUGCUUUGAAAUGAAGCAACAUUGGAAAAAUGAAAUCUACUGAAAGAUCACUACGUGUUUCAAAGGCCUUCAGACUCAGACUGGAACUGCACCGUUGGCUCUCCUGGGUGGGUCUCCAGCUUGCUGACCACAGACCUUGAGACUUCUCAGCCUUUAGAAUCAUGGAAGCCAAUUCCUUAUAAUAAUAUAUAUCCUUUUCCUAGUCUGUGGACUUUUCCCAGCUCCAGACAGACAACCUUCUAUAAACUCCAGGAUGCUCCAUCAAUGCCGUCUGGACUCUACAGAUUUUGACCCUGAAGUAAAGUAGGAAAGGCUAUGAGGACAUGUUAAAUGUUGUACUACCGCCUGAAGCCUUUUCUUCUUUAAAUUUUUCAACAAGAGUUGAAUGCACACGUGGAGCUUAAUUGGACAACAACUUUUCUCCUCUUCUGUGGGAUCCCGUCAGUGCUUUAAGCAAUGAGAAGGCAGCUCAUUUCCAAGUUUGUGUGGUAAAUUUGGGGCAAGUGGGAGAAAAGAAAGAAAGGCUGAGUCUUAUAGGGUGUGAUUUGGUUCUAGACAUGCUUAUGUUACUUUUUAUAAGAUUAUCCAUUUGACUAGAUUUCUUUCCUGCUGACAAAAGAGGCAAUUUCUACAUAUAAAAUAAAUCUGAUUAAAA
ensembl:lncRNA LINC02997 long intergenic non-protein coding RNA 2997